rnacentral:lncRNA from 1 species
GCCAGGAAGAGCCCUCAGAGCUUGACACACAACACGCCCACGGGUGGCUACAGAGCCACCCUGUGUAGAGGUAUCCUGUCUUCAGGUGUAAACACUCUGAGGUCCCUUCAUGCUGAGGUGUCCUGUCCUGUCUUCCAGAUGUACAUGUCCUGUACCCCCUGUGCUGAGGUAUCCUGUCUUUAAGGUGUGGACCCUGUGGGUCCUCUGUGCCGACGUGUCUCGUCUUCCAGGUGUGGACGCUCUGGGGCCUUUUGUUCUGGGGUAUCCCAUCUUUCAGGUGGAUGCUGUGGGGCCCCCUGUGCUGAGGUGUCCUGUCUUCCAGGCAUAUUUGAUCCCCGCAUCACUGUCAGCUGCUUCCAUGAGAUACACCCCAGAAUUCAAGAAGUCCCCACCGCACCUCCUGAAGAAGUUUGCAGUGUGUGACAUCCCUCUCUAUGACAUCUGUGACUACAACAUCACCAGGGACCGGUGCAAAGACCUCGGGUGCUGUUUCUACAAGGGUGUCUGCUAUGAGAAAGCUGUUCCCGGAUAAUACUGGAGAGUAGAAGAGAGCGGGAGAUCUUGGUGGACUCCACACUGUCAUCCAGGACCAUCAAGGAGCAUAAGAGAUCUGUUUCAGAACCAGAGUCGAUCAAACUUACCCUUCCAAGUUCCUCCAGGGAGACUGAUGAGAGCGAUAUAGAUGGUAGGAUCCUGUGGGCCAAGUCCAUCUCUGCCCUUGGGGUGUUGCACUCCUUACAUUUGCUCAGUGUCUUUGAUGGCCCCCAACAAUAAUGACAAACACUGUUUUAGGCUGGGCUGGAUUUCAGUGUAGCUAACUGUGGAGGGCCAGGGUUGGCAUGUGUCAGUGCAUGUCCUAGGGACAGUCCGGUAAUACUUGCAGGUUUAUCAAGGUCCUUCCUUGGGGCCACUGCAAGGGUGAGUGUGGCUGCUUCUGGUGAGGUAACGGCUGAAGAGGGAGGGACAGGAAGUAGUUCACUGCCCGCUCCUGUUCAUGGGAGGCAGAGUCAUGUGCUUGUCAGUGACUCUCAGGAGACUUGUCCCUUUUCCUGGGCCAGGUUAGAGAAAAGGAUGUCUCAAACACUGCAUCUUGUUGUGGAACGUGGGAUAGAAAGGUCUGUCUUGCCUGAUAUCCGUCCCCAUGGACAUGGGUUCAUGGAAGUCCCCAGGGAAGGUGAGACCAGAGGGCAUCUGCUAGUCUGUGUACCCGAGACCGCCUGCAGGACAUCUUUUCCUUGGUGCCUUCUGCCUUGAGACACGGGCUAUGAAGACCUUC